AUGACAUGCCUAGACAAUUCAUCCAAGAAAUUCAUAGAGAAACAUUCUCCUAAUGGAAUAACAUUAGGUGCAAAGGGAGGGGUUGAUAGCAGUAAGACAAAAACAACAGUUGGCAAAGUAAAUGCUACCCAUGGGUCACAGGGGAAAUUAAGGUUAAUAGAGAGGGCGGUGAUUUUCCGAUUUGUUAUGGUUUCUAAUGGUGACAAGAAUCACUAA